GUGCUUGCUUAGGCAGCACAUUUGCUAAUAUUGGAAUGACACAGAGAAAUUAGCAUAGCCCCUGUGCAAAAAUGACACAAGAUCUGUAAAGCAUCACACACACAC
ensembl:snRNA U6 U6 spliceosomal RNA